AGUGAACGCUGGCGGUAGGCCUAACACAUGCAAGUCGAACGGCAGCACAGAGGAGCUUGCUCCUUGGGUGGCGAGUGGCGGACGGGUGAGGAAUACAUCGGAAUCUACUCUGUCGUGGGGGAUAACGUAGGGAAACUUACGCUAAUACCGCAUACGACCUACAGGUGAAAGCAGGGGAUCCUUGGACCUUGCGCGAUUGAAUGAGCCGAUGUCGGAUUAGCUAGUUGGCGGGGUAAAGGCCCACCAAGGCGACGAUCCGUAGCUGGUCUGAGAGGAUGAUCAGCCACACUGGAACUGAGACACGGUCCUGACUCCUACGGGAGGCAGCAGUGGGGAAUAUUGGACAAUGGGCGCAAGCCUGAUCCAGCCAUACCGCGUGGGUGAAGAAGGCCUUCGGGUUGUAAAGCCCUUUUGUUGGGAAAGAAAUCCAUCUGAUUAAUACCCGGGUGGGAUGACGGUACCCAAAGAAUAAGCACCGGCUAACUUCGUGCCAGCCGCCGCCGUAA
rnacentral:rRNA from 1 species